rnacentral:rRNA from 1 species
AGAGUUUGAUCAUGGCUCAGGAUGAACGCUAGCUACAGGCUUAACACAUGCAAGUCGAGGGGCAGCAUGUUGGUUGCUUGCAACCAAUGAUGGCGACCGGCGCACGGGUGAGUAACGCGUAUCCAACCUACCCUUGUCCAUCGGAUAACCCGUCGAAAGGCGGCCUAACACGAUAUGCGGUUCACAGCAGGCAUCUAAGGUGAACGAAAUGUGAAGGAGAAGGAUGGGGAUGCGUCUGAUUAGCUUGUUGGCGGGGUAACGCCACAGGCUACGAUCAGUAGGGGUUCUGAGAGGAAGGUCCCCCAGAUUGGAACUGGAGACGACGGUCCAAACGUCCUACGGGAGGCA